GGGCUCUUAGCACAGUGGUAGCGCGCACGCUUUGCAUUUCCGUAUGCUUGCGUGAGGUCGUGGGUUCAAUCCCCACAGUGUCCA